CCUGUUUAAAAGCUGAUCAGAGCUCCUAGGGUUUUGAUUAUCUCCAGCACGUCUGGGAAAAAAAAAUCAUCGGCAAUAAGAUCCAAAACUUCUACGAUGAGAACACUCCUGCUGUGCCUUUUCUUUGCGGCCAUUUUCUUCCUUGCGUUACCAGUGACGUCGGGACUUCUGAACGAUAAGCCCACGUGUGUGGACGCGCUGCCCAACUGCCACGACUAUGACCCGGAGAGCUGCGAGUAUGAUUACCUUUACAUGAAGCAGAACUGUCCCAAGUACUGUGACCUCUGCCCUCCUAUCUAAGAGCUAGAAAGACGAAAAAAUAAAAAACAACUGAUGUCACAAGACCCAGGCAUUGCAAACUGUCACUACCGGCUAAAAAGGCUGCUUGGCAACUGAAGAUUAAAAAAAAAAUAUCGGUCAAACCGUUAGACUUGUUCUAAUGUUUCCAUCUUGUCCUCUCCUUUAGGUCACCCGCCCCUUAUCAUGGAUGCACUUUAAAAAAAAAAAAGUCCAUGACCAUAUCUACUCCCCCAAAACUUAUAUGUCUUAAAUGCUAUAAACAAU